AUAUAUGGCAGAAAUGUGUCUAUGUUAAAUAUGCUCUCAGAAAGUUGUCAUCUGGAAUCAGUGUGGUUCAUGCUAUAAGGCUGAGUAGGUAUAAAAAAAAUUACCUUUUUUUUUUUUGUGGCAAUACUUUAAGCAAUUUUCCUUGAUUCUACUACUUUCGAGGUCAGUAUGCUCCAUAUUUAGAGAACCAAACUUUCUAAAGCCUCUCUUAACAGACUAUCGAUUUGGGAGUUUGUUUUUCUCUUAAUGGAAAUAACAUCUUUAUUCUAGCCCAGUUUUGCCGUCACUUCAUAAUAAUUAGAGUAUAAUAUAACACAUUUAUAAUUCACUGGAGUAUAAAAAUCUAUCCUAAGUUAUCACAAGGAGAAAAGCUCUCCUUGCUUGUGCUGCAGAGAUAGGGUUAAAAUGCUCUUUGUGCAGUGUGUUUUGCUGUAACUUGCAGUUUUCACCGAUACUUGGUCGCUGCGGUCUUUCACUCUCUCCUCUGCUGUCUUGUACAACUCUUUCUCUUGCUUCAGCUAGUUUCAUCCCUUCUCUUUUGUCUUUUGUGUUUGAAGGCAAGGUCAGCAAGACGCCCGUCUGCAAGGGCUCCCAGCAGAGCAGGAGAUGGCUGACGUGAAAGCCACCGCUCCGAGCUGCACGGGGGUACAGAGGACACCUGAAAGCGUUCUAACAGGAAAAAAGAAAGCUGGAAGGACCCAGAGGUUUAAGGAAAGAAUGAUCGGGAAAAAGGGUAAAAGGGUGGAGUUGAAGAGGAGCACAUGCUGCAGGGGGCAGGAAGGGAAUAGGCUUCAGAGUAAAUUAUUUCCUCCAUUUACCUGGAAAAGGAUAAACGAAACCUGCCAUAGGAUACUGGCAACAAACUGUUUUCUUGGACCUUUUAAACAAAGAAAAAAUCUACAGACUUUCAAAAGAUAAGUGAGAACAAGCAAUAACUUUUUUUUUUUAAAAAAAAAAAAAAACUACUUUUCUCCCUUCUUUUAGGGAAGACCACACAAGAAAUAAAUAUAAAUAAGUAUGUUAGAUUCUAAGGUUG
rnacentral:lncRNA from 1 species